ensembl:misc_RNA Metazoa_SRP Metazoan signal recognition particle RNA
GCCAGGCACAGUGGAGUGUCCCUGUGGUCCCAGCUACUCAGGAGGCUGAGGCUGGAGGAUCGCUUGAAUCUAGGAGUUCUGGGCUGUAGUGUGCUAUGCUGAUUGGGUGUCUGCACUAAGUUUAGCAUCAAUAUGGUGACUUCUGGGAGCGGGGGACCACCAGGUUGCCUAAGCAGGGGUGAAAUGGAGCCCAGGUGGGAAAUGGAGCAGGUCAAAGCUCCUGCACUGCUCAGUAGUCGGAUCAUGCCUGUGAAUAGCCACUGCACUCCAGCCUGGGCAACAUAGCGAGACCCCGUCUCUU